GAUGAACGCUGGCGGCGUGCCUAAUACAUGCCAGUCGAGCGAACAGAUAAGGAGCUUGCUCCUUUGACGUUAGCGGCGGACGGGUGAGUAACACGUGGGUAACCUACCUAUAAGACUGGAAUAACUCCGGGAAAUCGGGGCUAAUGCCGGAUAACAUUUAGAACCGCAUGGUUCUAAAGUGAAAGAUGGUUUUGCUAUCACUUAUAGAUGGACCCGCGCCGUAUUAGCUAGUUGGUAAGGUAACGGCUUACCAAGGCAACGAUACGUAGCCGACCUGAGAGGGUGAUCGGCCACACUGGAACUGAGACACGGUCCAGACUCCUACGGGAGGCAGCAGUAGGGAAUCUUCCGCAAUGGGCGAAAGCCUGACGGAGCAACGCCGCGUGAGUGAUGAAGGUCUUCGGAUCGUAAAACUCUGUUAUUAGGGAAGAACAAAUGUGUAAGUAACUGUGCACGUCUUGACGGUACCUAAUCAGAAAGCCACGGCUAACUACGUG
rnacentral:rRNA from 1 species